ACACUUUGCGCCGUUCUCUGAUA
rnacentral:siRNA from 1 species